rnacentral:rRNA from 1 species
ACACGGCCCAGACUCCUACGGGAGGCAGCAGUGGGGAAUUUUCCGCAAUGGGCGCAAGCCUGACGGAGCAACGCCGCGUGUGGGAUGAAGGCCUGUGGGUUGUAAACCACUUUUCUCAGGGACGAACACAAUGACGGUACCUGAGGAAUCAGCCUCGGCUAACUCUGUGCCAGCAGCCGCGGUAAGACAGAGGAGGCAAGCGUUAUCCGGAAUUAUUGGGCGUAAAGCGUCCGUAGGUGGUCUAGCAAGUCUGGGGUUAAAGCCCGGAGCCCAACUCCGGAUCGGCCUUGGAAACUGCCAGACUCGAGUAAGGUAGGGGUUGCGGGAAUUCCCGGUGUAGCGGUAAAAUGCGUAGAUAUCGGGAAGAACACCAGCGGCGAAAGCGCGCAACUGGGCCAUUACUGACACUGAGGGACGAAAGCUAGGGGAGCGAAUGGGAUUAGAUACCCCAGUAGUCCUAGCCGUAAACGAUGGUGACUAGAUGUGGCUCGUAUUGACCCGAGCCGUGUCGUAGCUAACGCGAUAAGUCACCCGCCUGGGGAGUACGCACGCAAGUGUGAAACUCAAAGGAAUUGACGGGGGCCCGCACAAGCGGUGGAGCAUGUGGAUUAAUUCGAUGCAACGCGAAGAACCUUACCAGGGCUUGACAUCCUGCGAACCCCGCUGAAAGGUGGGGGUGCCUUCGGGAGCGCAGAGACAGGUGGUGCAUGGCUGUCGUCAGCUCGUGUCGUGAGAUGUUGGGUUAAGUCCCGCAACGAGCGCAACCCGCGUCCUUAGUUGCCAGCAUUUAGUUGGGCACUCUGGGGAGACUGCCGGUGACAAGCCGGAGGAAGGUGCGGAUGACGUCAAGUCAGCAUGCCCCUUACCGCCCUGGGCGUCACACGUGCUACAAUGGCCAGCACAAAGGGUAGC